AGCAGUCGCCGCGGUAAUACAGAGGGUGCAAGCGUUAAUCGGAAUUACUGGGCGUAAAGCGCGCGUAGGUGGUUUGUUAAGUUGGAUGUGAAAGCCCCGGGCUCAACCUGGGAACUGCAUCCAAAACUGGCAAGCUAGAGUACGGUAGAGGGUGGUGGAAUUUUCUGUGUAGCGGUGAAAUGCGUAGAUAUAGGAAGGAACACCAGUGGCGAAGGCGACCACCUGGACUGAUACUGACACUGAGGUGCGAAAGCGUGGGGAGCAAACAGGAUUAGAUACCCCGGUAGUCCCUGUCUCUUAUAC
rnacentral:rRNA from 1 species